CAUAGCGCAUGCGCUGUGGUAUUACUUUAUCUGCCUAUAGCAGAAUGGCAGAUAUCAUAGCGCAUGCGCUAUGGUUUCUGUAUUCUGCCCAUGGCUUCUGGAUUUUCAAUCUACAUAAAAAUACAUAAUGCAUAGCCAUGGGAAUAGGCACAUACAUUCUCCUUGUAGUCGGUCCUUCUAGAAAAGUGAUCAAGAAGAAAGAACGGAUUUAUAUUGAUUAACACGUGAACUGAGCAAAAUUGAUAUCAGUGCCGAAGUAUCCAAAUUGCUUUCUACUCUGAAGGCUCAGAGCUCUGCGACUAACAAGACGCAAGCAAACUCGAAUCAAGACGCGUUGAAAGCCAAAUCGGCGCAAGAUCCGAAGACGGAUAGCGAGACGUCGUCGAGUCCGAGAAUCGAUCUUCAUGGCAUACGAUCACACGGAUUACUGUCACAAUAAUAAUAUAAACAUGUCCGAAAAUGAAGAAAAUGAAAACCUGAAUUCUGAAGUGACGUUGGUGGACGACGAAGAUAAAAAUUUUGAUGAUUUGUUAAUAAGUAUUGUGAAAGAAUAUCCACAUCUAUAUGACAGCAGUUGUAAAGAUUAUCGCGAUGUGAUAAAAAAAGAGAACUCUUGGUUAGAGAUAUCUAAAAUUUUGGCCACGUCUCGUCGUUCAUUUUACUUGUAACGUCGUAACCGUUACUUUUUUAUAACAACCAUUUGGUAACAAUUAACGUAACAAUUUUUUAUAACGCUAAUGGUAACACCAGGAUGGGAAUGCCACUUUUGAAACUCAUUACCAUUACGUGUUAUACUUAAUGAAAAAACGGAUGUUUGCUGCAAUCGGUGGACUCGUCUGAGAGAAUCUUACUCUAAAGAAAA